GACGAACGUUGGCGGCGUGCUUAAUACAUGCAAGUCAACUGAAGCACCGGUAGCAAUACUGGUGUGGAGGUGGCGCACGGGUGAGUAACACGUAGGUAAUCUGCCUUCAGGUCUGACAUAACCCCGGGAACCGGGGACGUAUAUCAGAUGAUGCAGCGGCUUGACAUCAAGACAGUUGUUAAAGCUUCGGUGCCUGAAGAUGAGCCUGCGUCNGAUUAGCUAGUUGGCGGAGUAAUGGCCCACCAAGGCUACGAUCAGUAGCUGGUCUGAGAGGAUGAUCAGCCACACUGGAACUGAGACAC
rnacentral:rRNA from 1 species